UCAGCCCUAAACACAAAUAAUUUUAAAAACAAAAUUAUUCGCCAGAGUACUACCGGCAACAGCCUAAAACUCAAAGGACUUGGCGGUGCUUUAUACCCUUCUAGAGGAGCCUGUUCUAUAAUCGAUAAACCCCGAUAGACCUCACCAAUUCUUGCUAAUACAGUCUAUAUACCGCCAUCUUCAGCAAACCCUAAAAAGGAACAAAAGUAAGCGCAAUCAUAACACAUAAAAACGUUAGGUCAAGGUGUAACCUAUGAAAUGGGAAGAAAUGGGCUACAUUUUCUACUUCAAGAAAAUCCACAUACGAAAGUUAUUAUGAAACUAAUAACCAAAGGAGGAUUUAGUAGUAAACUAAGAAUAGA
rnacentral:rRNA from 1 species